rnacentral:lncRNA from 1 species
AGGCUAGUAUAAGAAAUUGAAUUCAGAUCAUAUGAUAGGCUGAUUGGCUCGGGCCAAGGUAGGCUUUUUGACUGUUUGUAGGAGCUAAUAUGUUGUGUUUUUAGUUGAUACUAGAGCAAUACAUUCAAAUACAAUUCAAAUAACGAAGAUGAUUAGUUGCUAGAAAGGCAAAAUUUAUCAACCCCGGUACAGCUAGAAAAGCAGAAUUAACCAAUCCGCCUACACCUACAAGUACGGAAACAUAUCAUGUUUCGAAGUUGACAUAAGUUUUUUUAUUUUUAUUUUCAAUCCACAGUUAAAACUUUGAAUGCGAGCCAGCUGGUUGAACAACGUUUGCAUUGGACUAAUUGAUCGAGUGGAGCUUACUAAUUAAUAUUCUCAUGAUGUAUGAAUAAAAUGAAAAAAUAAAGUUGAGAGACCAUAUCAUAUUGAUUGACUAAUGGAGUAUGUUUCAUUUGGCACCACACAAGCAAAUAUUGACUUACCACUAACUAUAACAUAUGGUACCUAUGUAGAUUAUUAACCACUAUGAUGGUUUAUUGCUAGCCUAUCAUAUAUUUAUCCUCCUAAUUAAACAAUGGCAGUUAGCAUUUGGUGGUCUAAAUAAUUCAAAUGAUGUGGAUCGAUUGAGUGCUUACCCUUGGGAAACCCCAUUUGUUCAUUUAAUUUAUUAAUAAAUGUGUCGCACAAAUGUAAAUAUUUUCAUUUCUAGUUCCUGCUUUAGCUAUCUAUCUUAGACUGGUUCUAAAAUCAUAUAUGAUACAAUCUUCACAUUCGGAACUCUAAAGUUAAAAACAUUUGAACUUUCUUGGAACACAAUUUUGUUGUAGAACGUCUCGCAAAACAAAUAUACGAGGGUUGAACUGGAUUUAAGCCCUACAAGAAAUGCAAUUGAAAUUAAAAUUGUCCCUACCAUAUAAAAAGUAUACUUUUUAUCUCUCAACUGUUGGCAAUGUCUAAGUUCCACCCUCAACUCCAACACCAGAAGUUCUUGAUCCCUCAAGUGUCAAACCAUCUAGGUUUGGUCCUUUGUCCAAUUGAAAGAGUAAAAAUAAAAAGGAAACAGAGAACUCAAUCAACUUCUUAAACUGAAGAUCUUAAAAAAUAACCAAUAAAGGAAAAAUUGAACGAAAUAGAACAUCG